rnacentral:snoRNA from 1 species
ACUUCAUGAUUUGGGUAUUGGGCCAAUUUUCCAUUAAAUCAUUCCCAAGCUUCAAACAAAGGCUCUCUAUUUAUUUGCAAAAAAUUUAGAAUCUUAUCCCACUUUUGAAGAAU